AGAGUUUGAUCCUGGCUCAGAGUGAACGNCUGGCGGCAGGCCUAACACAUGCAAGUCGAGCGGCAGCGCGGGGGCAACCCUGGCGGCGAGCGGCGGACGGGUGGGGAAUGCAUCGGAAUCUACCUCGUUGUGGGGGAUAACCUCGGGAAACCGGGACUAAUACCGCAUACGACCUACGGGUGAAAGUGGGGGACCUUCGGGCCUCACGCGAUGAGAUGAGCCGAUGCCGGAUUAGCUAGUUGGCGGGGUAAAGGCCCACCAAGGCGACGAUCCGUAGCUGGUCUGAGAGGAUGAUCAGCCACACUGGAACUGAGACACGGUCCAGACUCCUACGGGAGGCAGCAGUGGGGAAUAUUGGACAAUGGGCGCAAGCCUGAUCCAGCCAUGCCGCGUGUGUGAAGAAGGCCUUCGGGUUGCAAAGCACUUUUGUUGGGGAAGAAACCGGCCGGAUUAAUACUUCGGUUGAAUGACGGUACCCAAAGAAUAAGCACCGGCUAACUUCGUGCCAGCAGCCGCGGUAAUACGAAGGGUGCAAGCGUUACUCGGAAUUACUGGGCGUAAAGCGUGCGUAGGCGGUUUGUUAAGUCUGUAGUGAAAGCCCCGGGCUCAACCUGGGAAUGGCGAUGGAUACUGGCAAGCUAGAGUGUGUCAGAGGAUGGUGGAAUUCCCGGUGUAGCGGUGAAAUGCGUAGAGAUCGGGAGGAACACCAGUGGCGAAGGCGGCCAUCUGGGACAACACUGACGCUCAUGCACGUAAGCGUGGGGAGCAAACAGGAUUAGAUACCC
rnacentral:rRNA from 1 species